AAUUGAGUCUAAUAUUUGAAUUUUUAACAUUGAUUCAUCAAAUUUAUCUAUUCAAUCAGCUUCAAACUUGAAUGCGUGUUGCUGUUCGUAUAGAUUUCUCAUCUAUGAACAAUGCUUCCAGUUCUAUAAGAAGAAUCUUUUAUGAAAAUAGCCUUUUUCUAUGUUUUUUUAAACGAUCGCUUUUAGUUUGUCAAUAUUAUUAUAGAGUUAAAUUGUUAGUAGUUGAAACUAGACUGCAAAGCCUGCGAACAAUCAAUCCUACACAACUCUUUGUGUUGGACAAACCAUUGGAAUUGGCAGGCCUUUGCAAGCUCCCUGUCCCCUGGGGCUUGUAACAGGUAACAAGCCUAUGCCUAUAUAUAGGUUUUCUACUGUUCAUCCACCACAGCCUAAGCACUAAAAGGAGUUUACAGACAGCACAGCACAGCACAGCUACACUGCCCUUUUGCUGUGGCAAUCAUCAACCAUCUUCUUUACCAGGGAAGCAAUCAAGACCCAGGGCCUGACAAAGAACACUUCAGAACUAUUAGCAAACAGCAACUAUCUCAACCCUGGAGAAGGAUUCUUCCAGGCCAACUUCGUCACCGGUUGAUGAUAUCCUGAUUUGGCCAUGAAUUGAGCAGCACUCUAUUAUCACUAAUAACAUGCCAAAGAGGGUAACGACCACUGCAGUCCUUGGAGGAUAAAUGAAUGGCUUCCAAAGAAUCCGAUUCCACCAAAGGCUCUGAAUACUCCACAGAACAAGCAAGUGAAGCCUCUAGCCCAGGUUCCCAUGCCAUCUCUUAUCAGACCACCGUGGGGGCAUAUCAAAAUUUUGUAAAUUUUGGUGUUUCAAUAAUGACUUGUAAGUAUUGCUAUCAAAAUUUGCAUAUCACUUUAGAAUAUUGAAACAAUACAGUAUCUAUGUACAAGUGAAGGCCUUUUUUUCCUGGGCCUUUCCUCCCUCGGAACCCUCAAAACAGAACAAAUGUAUUAUGUAUUUUGUGUUACAUUUACAAAUAUUUCACUUC